GAGACUUCCAUGGUUGGCCCGUGCAGUGCAUGCCUCUCCUCGCUCCCUCCGCCUCGUCUCUCUCUGAGUCCCUUCGUCUCUCUGCCAGCUGCUUCACCUUCUGCCGCUUUGAUCGUCCACUUCACUUCAGCACAGUCACGUCGUUUAUUGUCGCCUUCAUCGUCUGCUCCAGUGUUUGGUGAUAUCCAUCGCUUUCUUCGUCAGCUCCACUUCCUCGUCGAGUUGCUGCUUGUUUCAUUGGGGUUUCUAAGUUCCUCUUGCUUCCUUAUAUAUUUACACAUUUUAAUCUUCCCUGCACUUCAAUGUGAGAUGUGGAAAGGCUUGCCACAGCUAGAUUUGUGCAUUUUUAUCUAGUCAGCUUUAUUUGGAAAAUACACGCCAAAAAUGACCACUCUUUUUUGGGGGUCAAUUCAACAUUCCGCUUCCCUCCCACUGUUUCUCUCUGCUCUUGAAUCUACGAUGUGUAGACUUUGUUAUUUUAGUGUUUUGCAAUUUCAUUUUCCCUUGAAAAUAUAGGGAACCUCAUUGCAUUCUUUUUGGAUCGAUGGAUUCCGUGGCCCAUAAAUCCCUGCUCUUCAAUUUACACCCUCCGUCUUCAUCUGCAACCUGCUUCGUCUACCGUUGUUUUUGUCAGGCUAUGAAAAAGGUUUGUUUUCUUUGUCCCUGAUGCUUUGUGCUUCUACCAGAUCUAGUUCCUUCAGCUAGAUUUGCCAGUCGCUUAGAUUUUUGGAUUUGUUCAUCGCCUUAAACUACAACCGCUUUUCGUCUCCGUCUUCUAGUGUCUUCGGCGUAAAAGGUCAAUCGCCCCGCCUCCAGCAAAAUGACUUCAUUUUUCCCCGACUUUUGUUACGGUUAGUGCUCUUUGCUGCUGACUCCCUUGUGUCUGUUAUCCAAGCUACGAUUUCUCCCCCAAAUUUAAGGUUUAGGGUUUAUGUUACAAAGGAAAAAGGAAGGAUACCAAUGAAAAAAACCCUCACUGUUACUUGUUGUUCGAUUUAAUCCCUGGUUCUUGUACUUCAAGCCUUGAAUUUGUUUGGUUUCUCCCCCAAAUUUGAAGUUCGGGACUAAUGUUAUAGCAAAGGGAAAAAGUAAGGAAAGCAAGACAAAAAAUCCUCCCUGUUACUUGGUGUUUAGGGAAAAAAACCUCACUGUUACUUGUUGUUCCAUUUAAUCCCUGGUUCAUGUACUUCAAGUCUUGAAUCUGUUCGAUUUCUCCCCCAAAUUUGAGGUUGAGGAUUAAUGUAACAGGAAAAAGUAAGGAAAGCAAGGCAAAAAAAAAUCCUCCCUGUUACUUGGGGCUAGUUUGGAAACUCAAAUCCCCUCCAAUCCCGAAGGGGAUUCGAGGUUCCCAAAGUAGUGUUUGAUUUAAUCCCUGGUUCUUGUAGUUCAAACCUUGAAUAUGUUCGUCUUAUUUUGUGUAGUCCUUUUCCUUUUUUGGUCCCCGGCACAUGCUUCACAUGAUCUGUUACAAAUUUGUGGUUGGUCAAUCCGUUGUUCCCCACGUAUAUUUUUUAAAACUUCUUUACCUUGAAGAGUUCUUUUCUGUCCUAUUUUGUUUGGUUUUACCCACACUGGUUUCGGUUCCCUGCUUUUCCUCUGUUCCUGUUUUCAAUCCCACUCGAUUAUGCCCAACUUAGUUUGAAUUCACAGUUAUUUUCAAUAUGGUAAGGAAAUGUUUGCUACUUAUAUAUUAGAUCGCAGCCACAUUUUCAUCCACAUGCUCUCACUUCGAGAUUUUGACCCUUUUUCCACGAUUUUCAAUACGGUAAGGAAAUGUUUGCUACUUAUUCCCUGUUGUCCAUUAUCCAAAGUAUGGUUUUUAGGCCAAAUUUAAGGAUUACUGUUUAUAUUACAGAAAAGGACAUAGGAAAGAAACGAGUAAAAAAGAAGGAAACAAAUUCUUUCAGCUACUUGCUGUUCGAUUUACUUCCACAUCUAGGAUUAGUUGUUCUUUUUUUCCACAGCACCCCCCCCGGGGCAUGUCUCACUGGAACUUUUACAAAUUUGGGUUUAGGGUACAUAAAAGGUAUGUUUUUUACACCAUCAAGUUGUUGAUUCUUUAUCACUUUAAAUUGCUAUUGAUGUGUAAAAAGAGUUGAUUAUGUGUUCCACAUAAAUUGCUAGAAUCCUUUGUGGCUACAAAAGAAUUGAAUCAAUUGAUUAUAGUUUUAAGCUGCUUCCAUUCGCACUGGUUGUCUGCUACAUGGCGCGUAGUGAUUUUACAGUUACUUUUCUUGAACUAAGUUUAAAUGCUCCGCGUCUUAUAUGUACUGUUUGUUUCUGCUCUUUUAUCGAAGCACGUGGAGUGAUACCUCUGCACCUCAGUGGCUUUAUCGGCGAGGCUUGGUUGCUGAGGUAAUUAGCAUUAGUUUUGAUCUACUUUCCUUCGUGCUGGUUGUUCACUAAUAGAUUAAUGUUUGAUGUCCUGUUCGGCCUAGGAUACUUACCAGUGUGUCUAUGUGUUCCACCAAUAUACUGCAUUAUGCACGCUUGCUAGUUUAAAGUGUGAUUUCGUGUACAGAACACAGUACAGAGCUUCUUAUUUAAAAAUAUUUGUAACUUUAACAAAUCAACUCUUAGAUAUACAACCUAAUGAAAUAUAUUCAAUAGGCUCGAUGUGUUCUAGCAUAUUCCGAUGUGCCAUGCAGUGCAGAGGUAAAUUCAGUGUACUUACAUGCUUAACUUCUAUAUAUACUAAUGAAGAUAGAUAUCUGUAUACUGUUAAUGUCUCUACAACAAAUGAUAAAAACAUGUUUUCCAAGUUAAACACCUACAAAUUCUUCGGCACAAAAGUGCUCUCCCACUUUGGACUACCAUAGUAAGAUAGCAAUGUUUAUCUUAUCGUUCACAAGUCAUCUACAAAGACAUGGAUCAGCUGACCAAGCUCGAGCUACCAUCGCCUCCAAAAAAGUAAGUGUUACAAGAUAUUACUUAGAAAAUGAGAACAACGUCUACUCAUCAAUUUCACAGCCGCAACUUCUAUUCCAUACUGAUACAAUAACAAUGCAUACAAGAUGAAGCAUACCCAACUUAACAAAGAGCUACCAUAUUCUAUGGGUUCAAAAAAUGAAGACGACUAGCCCACCACGAAGCACUCGAAGGUAUUGGUUUUUUGCAAGCAUUAGAAGAGCUCCAUCACUUUUUAAUAUAAAAGCCUUUUGUGUACAUAUGAACCAACUGUUGGAGCAUUUCUAAAACUGUAUUGACUUAUGCAACCUCUAGAAACACACUGUUACUGCAUAUUGGAGUACACUGCUUAAAUGCUACUUGAUAUAUAUUGUAAUUUCAUUUGAUAUUACAAAUGCGGUUAGCAACCAAAUUCAGCUAUAAAUUUCGUAA